rnacentral:rRNA from 1 species
AUUGAACGCUGGCGGCAGGCCUAACACAUGCAAGUCGAACGGUAACAGGAAGCAGCUUGCUGCUUCGCUGACGAGUGGCGGACGGGUGAGUAAUGUCUGGGAAGCUGCCUGAUGGAGGGGGAUAACUACUGGAAACGGUAGCUAAUACCGCACAAUGUCGCAAGACCAAAGAGGGGGACCUUCGGGCCUCUUGCCAUCGGAUGUGCCCAGAUGGGAUUAGCUUGUUGGUGGGGUAACGGCUCACCAAGGCGACGAUCCCUAGCUGGUCUGAGAGGAUGACCAGCCACACUGGAACUGAGACACGGUCCAGACUCCUACGGGAGGCAGCAGUGGGGAAUAUUGGACAAUGGGCGCAAGCCUGAUGCAGCCAUGCCGCGUGUAUGAAGAAGGCCUUCGGGUUGUAAAGUACUUUCAGCGGGGAGGAAGGGAGUAAAGUUAAUACCUUGGCUCAUUGACGUUACCCGCAGAAGAAGCACCGGCUAACUCCGUG